rnacentral:lncRNA from 1 species
AUGUUUAAGCAUCUCUUACACCUAGCCAACAACAAGGAAUUCAAAAUCAUGCUAUUUAUGGCUCUUCAAAAUGCAAACCUUUGUUACCAGUCAUCACAGAGGGGAAUAAUUGUCUUUAUGGUCAUCAGCUUUGACAGAUUUUUGGAAAACUGGAUGACAGUCAUAUGAACUCUUAAAAUAGUAGCUGAAGGAUGAGGAAAAAUAUAGAGCCCAAUCCUGCCAUGGAAACUGUGUGGGUGCAAGGCUAUUACAAUUCAUCUCUGUCUGCAAGACACUAACACUGGAAGAAAGGAGAAAAGAAUCGAUUCAAAGAAAGAAAUUCUUACUCAUGAUAAAAUUUAGAAUGAUAGCCAGCUUUUGUAGGAACCUUAUGUUGGAAAUAUAAGAGAAUACCUUCAUAAGUGCUUCUGCUCACACUGUUAUUGUAUGUACAGACUUAGCCCUCCAGGAGUUUCCAGUCUGAUUGCAUUUCAUGCACUGUUUCAGCUUUACAGCUAUCAUUUUAGUCAAGCAGAAAAAUCCUUUUAUUGUGUAUUUAACUAUUUUUAUAUUACAAUAUUGAAAUAUCAUAAAACAUUCCUAUAAUGAUUGUUUCACCUGCUUUCUCACAGGGAAUUUAGUGGAUGACAAAUUUAUAGAUGCAGUUGUGUUGAAUUUAUUACUAUUAUUUAAUAAGCAUCUGCUGAUGGGUUUUGAUUUCACCUAUGAGUCCUUUACCUUGGAAGAGCUGAGAUCAUAUAUGGCUCCUGUCAUUUGCCAGUGAAAGGAGUGUGAAGAGGACGGUGUUACUAAAUGCCAGAAAACAGAAUUCUGAGAGACAUUAUUUACAUGCAUAUAAGGGCUACUCUUGUUGUAUUUCAGUAUUGAAUCAGACAUGGGGUUAAAAGCACUAUGUAACAUAAUUUUGAAUGCAGUGAACAAGAGUCGACAUCAAUAUUGUCAUAUUUUUAUUAAGUGUCUGUGAAAUAAUAGAAGCUGAAUUAUUUAGUUGUUUAUAUAAGAAAGGAAAGAUCUUUUGAUUCAGAACUGCUAGUUUUUCUCUUAGAGCUAAUCUAUAAAUGAAAACUAUUUUCUUGCAAUACAUUUUUGAGGAAAAAAAAUUGACCAUUUUUAAUAUUUUAGAUCAAUUUUAAAUUGAUUUUACUUACUCUUUUGUGGAUUAAGUUAU